UACGGGGGGAGCAAGCGUUGUUCGGAUUUACUGGGCGUAAAGGGCGCGUAGGCGGCCAGCACAAGUCAGUUGUGAAAUCUCCGAGCUUAACUCGGAAAGGUCAACUGAUACUGUGCGGCUAGAGUGCGGAAGGGGCAACUGGAAUUCUUGGUGUAGCGGUGAAAUGCGUAGAUAUCAAGAGGAACACCUGCGGCGAAGGCGGGUUGCUGGGCCGUACACUGACGCUGAGCGC
rnacentral:rRNA from 1 species